AGAGCGAACGCUGGCGGCAGGCCUAACACAUGCAAGUCGAGCGCCCGUAGCAAUACGGGAGCGGCAGACGGGAUAGUAACACGUGGGAACGCGCCCUUCGGUUCGGAAUAACUCAGGGAAACUUGAGCUAAUACCGGAUACGCCCUUACGGGGAAAGAUUUAUUGCCGAAGGAACGGCCCGCGUCCGAUUAGCUAGUUGGUGAGGUAAUGGCUCACCAAGGCGACGAUCGGUAGCUGGUCUGAGAGGAUGACCAGCAUCACUGGGACUGAGACACGGCCCAGACUCCUACGGGAGGCAGCAGUGGGGAAUAUUGGACAAUGGGCGGCAAGCCUGAUCCAGCCAUGCCGCGUGGAUGAUGAAGGCCUUAGGGUUGUAAAGUCCUUUAACGGGGAAGAUAAUGACGGUACCCGUAGAAUAAGCCCGGCUAACUUCGUGCCAGCAGCCGC
rnacentral:rRNA from 1 species